rnacentral:rRNA from 1 species
CAGUAGCCGCGGGAAUACGAAGGGGGCUAGCGUUGUUCGGAUUUACUGGGCGUAAAGCGCACGUAGGCGGACUUUUAAGUCAGGGGUGAAAUCCCGGGGCUCAACCCCGGAACUGCCUUUGAUACUGGAAGUCUUGAGUAUGGUAGAGUUGAGUGGAAUUCCGAGUGUAGAGGUGAAAUUCGUAGAUAUUCGGAGGAACACCAGUGGCGAAGGCGGCUCACUGGACCAUUACUGACGCUGAGGUGCGAAAGCGUGGGGAGCAAACAGGAUUAGAUACCCCCGUAGUCCCUGUCUCUUAUAC